UUCCUGUUUAGCACCGAGGCACCAACGUGGGUUCAGUAGAAUUCCCAUCUUUGUUAAGAUUCAAAAAUGCAAAUAUCAAGUGUGAAUGAUGUGAAAAUUUAUAAUUUAAGCCAUGGAAAGUCACUUCCAGAGUGGCUGACAGAUCGUAAGAAGAGACAACUGCAAAAGAAAGAUGUUGACAUCCAGCGUAGGAUUGAGCUCAUCCAGGAUUUUGAGAUGCCCACAGUGUGCACGUCCAUAAAGGUAUCCAGAGAUGGGCAGUUCAUCCUGGCAGCAGGGACUUACAAGCCCAGGAUUCGAUGUUAUGACACCUACCAUCUUUCGUUGAAGUUUGAACGCUGCUUGGAUUCUGAUGUUGUGGCCUUUGACAUACUGUCUGAUGACUACUCAAAGCUUGUGUUCCUGCACUCUGACCGUUAUGUGGAGUUCCAUUCCCAGCACGGUCACUACUACAAAACACGAAUUCCAAAGUUUGGAAGGGAUUUUUCUUACCAUUACCCCUCGUGUGACCUUUAUUUUGUUGGAUCUAGUUCCGAGAUCUAUCGACUGAAUCUUGAACAAGGCCGCUUCCUGAACUCACUUCAGACAGAUGCUGUGGAGCACAAUGUGUGUGACAUCAACCCUGUCCAUCAUUUGUUUGCCAGUGGAACCUCUGAGGGAAAGGUGGAAUGCUGGGACCCUCGUGUCUGGAAGCGAGUGGGCCUUCUGGACUGUGCCCUGAGCAGCCUCACAGAAGGAAUGGAAGUUCAGAGUUUGCCCUCAAUAAGUGCACUGAAGUUUAGCGGUUCGCUCAUCAUGGCAGUAGGCACCAGCACUGGUCAGGUGCUGUUGUAUGACCUGCGCUCCAGCCAGCCGCUGCUUGUGAAAGACCACUUCUACAACCUGCCCAUCAAGUCUCUCAAUUUCCAUGACCAAAUGGACCUGGUUGUGUCGGCAGACGCUAAAAUAAUAAAAAUCUGGAACAAAGACAGUGGCAAAAUGUUUUCCUCAAUCCAGCCUGAGAGCAACAUUAAUGAUAUUUGCAUGUACCCCCAGUCAGGUAUGCUUUUCACCGCCAAUGAAGAUCCAAAGAUGAACACAUUCUACAUUCCGGCUCUUGGCCCAGCACCUCGUUGGUGUUCCUUCCUAGAUAACCUGACAGAGGAGCUGGAGGAGAGCCCUGAGAGCACUGUGUAUGACGACUACAAGUUUGUCACCCGCAAGGACCUGGAAACUUUGGGUCUUUCUCAUCUGGUGGGAUCAUCCCUCCUGAGGGCGUACAUGCAUGGCUAUUUCAUGGACAUCAGGCUCUACCAUAAGGUCAAAAGCAUGGCAAAUCCUUUUGCUUAUGAGGAGUAUCGUAAGGAUAAGAUCCGACAGAAGAUUGAAGAGACGAGGACCCAGCGAGUACUGGUUAAGGCAUUGCCCAAAGUCAACAAGGAGCUGGCUUUGAAGCUGAUGGAAGAGGGUGACGAAGUGGAGUUGGCUUCCAGGAAAAAGAAGGGCAAGGCUCUACCCACCAUUUUGGGCGACAACCGUUUCAAGGUGAUGUUUGAAAACCCAGACUAUCAAGUGGAUGAGCAGAGCGAGGCGUUCCGCCUGCUCAACCCCAUCGUCUCCAAAGUUAGCCAGAAGAGGAAAAAGCAGUUGCGGCUACUAGCUCAAGAUGCUACUUCACAAGAGGAUCAGGAAAAUGAGGAGGAGGGUCGAGCCAGUUCUGAGGAGGAAAGCUCAGAUGAUGAAAAGAGCUGGGUGGAGGAGGUGAGGGAGCAGCGGAGACUGCUCUGGCAAGAGGAGCGAGACCGCCAGUAUCAGCAGAGGAAGGACACUGACCGCAACACAGUCUUGCUGGAGAGCAAAUGCAGUGAAGGGCAGAAAAGCUUCAUCACGGCUGAGAACAAGAAGCGGAGCCAGCCUCAGUUCUAUCAGAUUAAAAGCGGGGAGGAGUUUCGCAGUUUUAAUGACGUGUCACGCAAGCAGAAACUUCAGAAGGCAUCCCUGGAGGAGCGUCUGAAGUUAGAGGAACACUCUGGAACCAGCAACGUGGCUGACACCACAGUGGGCAGCAAACAGCUUACUUUUAGACUCAAAAAGUCUGAGCAGCAAAGGAAGCAGCAGCAGGCGGAGCGGGACCACCAUGAGGAGAGGAAGAAGCUAAGACGAUCAGCCGGACACCUGAGCAGCGCCCGUGGGAGGGGCUGGGCAGGUGGCAUAAGAAGAGGACGAGGACGAGGACGAGGACGAGGAAGAGGACUGCACUGAGGAGGGAAGCCCCAUCUGCAGCUCAAGUCAAAGCUACACCAAUUAGGCAGAUGUCCUGAAUAGCUAAAGGUUGAUGUUUUUAAAACACGUGUCAAGUGGUCAAGGCUAAAACUGACAACAGAUGGAUGUAUGUAUGCUUUUAUUAUAUAUAUAUAUAUAUAUAUAUAUAUAUAUAUAUAUAUAUACAUACACACACACACACACACACACAUUCAUUUGUUUUUGUUGAAUACUGAGGACAUUUACAUUCAGAUAAAAAAAAAUGAAUAUGAGACAAAAGUUCAGAAUCCCAGCUUUCAUUUCAUGGUAUUUACAUCGAGAUGUGUUAAACAACUCGGGACAGAGAAUCCUUUGUUUGAAACCACCCACUUUUCAAGUGAGCAAAAUUAUUGGAAGAUGUGAUUGAUGGGUGUUUUCCAGUUGUUCUGGUGUUGCCUUUUAGAUUGAUUGCUCAAACAUUAGCUAGUUCUUGUUUUUGGCUUUGGGUUUUACCUAUGAAAACUGCAUCUGCUAUUAAGCAAACAUGAGGACCCAAGUGGUCUAUGGGAGAAAAGCAAACCAUUUUGAAGCUGAGAGGAAGGAAAAUCAAUCAGAGCUAUUGCACAAAUAUUGGGCAUAGCCAAUACAACAAUUUGGAAUGUCCCGAAAAAGAGAAACUACUGGUGUACUGAAAAACAGACAUCGAACAGGUCGGCCAAGGGUAUCAACACCAGUUGAUGAAAGAAUCAUUGUGAGAGCUGUGAAGAAACACCCAAAGACAAGUCACUGAUGUCACUGCCAAACUGCACAUGGCAAGGAUGAAGGUAUCACAUUCGUAUAUACUGUAUACAUGUAUAGAUACAGCGGCUGAAAUAAGUAUUUAACACGUCACCGUUUUUCUCACUAAAUAUAUUUUCAAAGUCGCUAUUGACAAAUUAUUACCAGAUGUUGGGACAACCCAACUAAUCCAUACAUUAUAAGAAAGAAUAACAAAUAAGACCAGAAAUUAAGUUGUAUGUAAUGUGAAAUGACACGGAAAAGGUGGAGGUGCAAAAAGGCAUGGAAAGCCAAGACAACACCUAAAAUCUCACUGGGGAACACAAUUUUUGUUGAUCGGUUUGACAGCUGUGUUUAACAAAUGUUUGGGUGCGGAAUCCAAAAUUGAUCUCAGUUUUUCUCUAUUAUGUCAACUUUUUGAAAAAAGUGGAACAAAGGAAAUAUAUACCGAUGUAAAUAAAACACUAAGCUUGAAUAAUUACAAGCUUUGAAAACUAAAAAAAACAGCAUAAAACGAAAUAGAACUUACAACGGUAUGCCCAUGGAUACAAGGUUAAGAGAAAAGCCAGCACAAAUUCUCUUAGUUCGAACUAUGCCAGCUUUCUGUUUGCAGGUAUUGAUAGUACUGACUUAUUGGGAGGUGCACCUCUCAAUUGUGACUGCAAAAACAAAUUCCCAUGUAGCUGUAGAUAAGUCCAAUCGUAAUCAGCUGGCUCAUUACUACAGAUAAUCAGUGGAAUUUUGCUUAUCUGGAGGGUAAGCUGUGGAGAAAGAACUUGACGUGCUAGAAAAAAAACUGACUGCAAUUUUGGAAUCAGCAUGCCAAUUUUAGUUUUAAUCAGCAUAGAAAUCUAACUCAACAGAUUUUUUUUUCUAAUUGUUCCCUGAUUCAGCCCCGUGUCAGUGCAAAUGAAUAUCAGCUGGUUCAGUCCUAAUUGAUAACCUAAUAAAAGGUCUCCUUGCCAAGGUAAGAGCAGAGAGCUGUCUCAAGACCAUCACAAACUAUCCACCCAUUUUCUGAGCCGCUUAUCCUCAAAAGGGAAGGCGGGGUACACCCUGAACUGGUUGCCAGCCAAUCGCAGUGCACAUACAAACAAACAAACAACCAUCCGCACUCACAUUCACACCUAUGGGCAAUUUAGAGUCUUCAAUUAACUUACCAUGCAUGUUUUUGGGAUGUGGGAGGAAACCGGAGUGCCCGGAGAAAACCCACGCAGGCAUGGGGAGAACAUGCAAACUCCACACAGGCGGGGCUGGGGAUUGAACUCAGGUCCUCAGAACUGUGAGGCAGACGCUCUAACGAGGCAGACGCUUUAACCAGUCACCCACCGUGCCGCCCAUCACAAACUAAUUGUUGCAAAACAACGGUGGCAUUUGUUACAGGCACAUAUCUAAGCUUCUGAAUGUUCCAGUGUGCAAGGUUGGGGCCAUAAUACGGAAGUGGACAGCCAAUCAUACUACCAUAAAUUUGCCUCGAUCAGGCGCUCCUAACAAGAUUUCUGACAGAGGAGUGCAAAGAAUAAUCAGGAGAGAUGUCCAAGAGCCAAAGACCACCUGUGGACAGCUUAAAAAAGAUCUGGAACUAGCAGGUACUGUUGUCACAAGGAAAACCGUGAGUAACUCGCCGUCACAGACUGUAUGCACACUCCACGCAAGACCCCAUUGGUGCGGGGGGGGAAAGCAGGUCAAAGCUCGUUUCAGGUUUGCUGAACAACAUUUGGACAAGCCCAUUAAAUACUGGGAGAAUAUGGUCUGAUAAGAGCUAAAUUGAACUCUUUGGAUGCUAUUAUGCACACCACGUUUGGAGGAGAAAUGGCACUGCACAUAACCUGAAAAACACCAUACCAACAGUGAAGUUCAGAGGUGGGAACAUGAUGGUGUGGGGCUGCUUUUCAGCAAAUGGUACUGGUAAGCUUAACAUUAUUGAAGGAAGGAUGAAUGGUCAAAUGUACCGAGGUAUUCUUUAUAAAAAUCUGAGGAUGAUGAAAAUGAAACAAGGGUGAACAUUUCAUCAGGAUAAUGAUCCAAAACAUACUGCCAAGGAAACACUCAAUUGGUUUCAAAGGGGGGGGGAAAUAAAGCUGGUAGAAUCCAAUCGAAAAUCUAUGGAAAGAACUGAAACUCAAGGUCCAUAAAAGAAGCCCACGGAACCUUCAAGGUUUUAAGACUGCUUGUGUGGAGGAAUGAGCCAAAAACACACUAGAGCAAUGCAUGUGACUAGUUUCUCCACACAGAAGGUGUCAUUGCAAACAAAGGCUUUGGUACAAAGUAUUAAAUAAAUACCAGUUGCCGUGUUCAAUACUUUUCCCCUGUGUCAUUUCACAUGAUUACACAUAACUUAAUUUCUCAUCUUAUUUGUUUUACUUUCUUUGUAUGUAUGGAUUACUUGGGUUGUUCCCAACAUCUGGUGAAAUUUUCAUGUCAAUAGCACCUUGGGAAAUAUAUUUAGUGAGAAAAAUGGUGACGUGUUAAAUACUUAUUUCAGCUGCUGUACAUACAUGAGAUGCAAGGACUCGAGCAUAUGCUUCAGCCGGGAUAAAAGAGCCGGUAUCCUUUGUAGCAGCUAAGCACCUACUUGCGUCAGCAGUGAAAGAAGGGGAGGAAUGGAAUAUUUAACUUGGUGAGAUCCAUCCUACAAGAAGUGAAACAUGAGAUUCGUCAAACUUAAGAAUGAAUCAACAUAAAGAAAAAUAUUCAACACCAUCAUCCCUGAACUCCUUUCCUCCAAGCUUCUCCAGCUCAGCGUCUCGCCUGCUAUCUUCCAGUGGAUUUACAGCUUCCUGACGGGCAGGACACAGCAGGUGAGGCUGGAAGAGACCACCUCAUCCACACGCAGCAUCAGCACUGGGGCGCCCCAAGGUUGUGUCCUCUCUCCGCUGCUCUUCUCUCUACACGAACUGCUGCACCUCAACGCACCCGGCUGUCAAACUCCU